rnacentral:rRNA from 1 species
AGUGAACGCUGGCGGUAGGCCUAACACAUGCAAGUCGAACGGCAGCACAGUAAGAGCUUGCUCUUACGGGUGGCGAGUGGCGGACGGGUGAGGAAUACAUCGGAAUCUACUUUUUCGUGGGGGAUAACGUAGGGAAACUUACGCUAAUACCGCAUACGACCUACGGGUGAAAGCAGGGGAUCUUCGGACCUUGCGCGAUUGAAUGAGCCGAUGUCGGAUUAGCUAGUUGGCGGGGUAAAGGCCCACCAAGGCGACGAUCCGUAGCUGGUCUGAGAGGAUGAGCAGCCACACUGGAACUGAGACACGGUCCAGACUCCUACGGGAGGCAGCAGUGGGGAAUAUUGGACAAUGGGCGCAAGCCUGAUCCAGCCAUACCGCGUGGGUGAAGAAGGCCUUCGGGUUGCAAAGCCCUUUUGUUGGGAAAGAAAAGCAGCAGGUUAAUACCCCGCUGUUCUGACGGUACCCAAAGAAUAAGCACCGGCUAACUUCGU